rnacentral:lncRNA from 1 species
GGCGACCUCCUGAGUGUAGCCUGAGCCGCAGCUGGAGGCUUGGUUGAGCGGCAUCCCCUCAUUGCAGUGUGCCCUCCUUCUCGGCCCCACCACCCUGCUUCCCUGGGGGCGGCUGUCUCUGUACAGGAGCAGAUGGGAAAAACAGUCCCCGGACUCGGCACCCCCAGCUCUCCCUGGCUCCAGCCCAUGCUCUAAAGUCCCUAGUGAGGGCUCAAGCCUGACAAGUCAUUCACCUUUUGCUUAAUCUUUUUUCUGCCCUCCCUGGUCUCAGCUCUGUCUAAACAAGGUCUUGGAGCUGUAGUGCUCCCCUUUAUUUUUCUUGGCACCAGAGUACCCCCUGUGGGUCACAGGAUGCCCAUACCUUUCGGGUGAACAGGCAACCAGCUUCCAUGCACCCUUAUCUGCAGGACUCCCAGCCAUCCUUGCUUGUUGAUGGGACCUCCUUCCCUAGGUCAUGAGGGCCAGCUCGUUAGCCCCCAAGUGCCUCCCUGUCCCUCUGCUGCUCUCUCCACUCAGUCCGCCUCAGGCACCCGGCCUGUUAGGUGGGAGUCAGCCUGGAGUGAGCGCUGCCUCUGCCCAGUCAGUGGCCCAGCCUUGGGGUCUGGCUCGGGGAGCUCCUGUCACCUUUCUUAGCCAUUUUCCACCUCUUCCCACCGUGGGUCCGCUUCCUCGCCUCUUCCUGCCGUUUCACCCUCUCCACCUGGGUCUUGGGCCUGGCAACAACCCUGUGGUGCGUCAUCUGAGUGCCACCAAGUUUGUUAGGCCUGUCCAAGUUCUAGGAGUUUCCAAACCUUAAAAUAGCAGUCAGUUAUUCUCUUCUCUCUGGAUCUGUGAAAAGGAUAGCCUCUUGGAGGGAGGUUCCGGGCCUCAGCCCCAUGGGUCUGAGCUCGGUUUCCCUUCAGGGAGAAGAAUCAGCAAGACAGAUCUUAGUGCCUUACUCCAUUGCCCUCCCCUCACCAGGCCACCUGGCUCAGUAGGAAGUACGCAUCUUUCUCCCUGUCUGGGUCCAUCUGUCACUUAAACUCUGUUCCCACUCACAGAUAGUCUAUGGGCAGGAUUACUCCCCCACAUGACCUCCCGACCCCUUCCUGCGGGCUGUGUCCAGGCACAUGUCUCCCCGCCCACCACCAGGGCACUCACUAGCAGCUUUAGCCGAGGACAGGAGAACUGUGCUUCAGACAGGUGCGCGUCUCUGCGUCUCACUACCCAGCAGGUCCCCUGCUUCUUACCUCUAGCCAGGAGGAUGCCACAGUCUGUUCACUCAAGAUGCUCCAUCUGACCCCCUUCUGGGCACUGGGGACUAAGGUCUCAGGCCUUAGUCUCAUCUCAUCCCAGAGGCAUUGGGACAGGAGAAUAGGAACUCUUUCCUCCCACCCGGACAUGGUUUGCCCACCUUGGCUGCCUUUCUGAGGGAGUGUAUUCAAUGUUUACUUAAGAAGUACCCUGUUUACAGCUGGAGGAGAAGUGUGCCCAACAGUGGGUGGAGCUCUGACUCUCUGGACAUGUAUGGCCUCAUGUAUGGCACGGCCAGUGGUGGUCCCAGAGCGAAUGAAGGCAGAGACGCCAGGGGCAGGGGUGCGCGCCCUGGACUUUCCCUGCCCCCUGGCCCUGCGGUGCUAAGACCACUCACCACCUUUCUCACAGCCCUCGUCCCCCUGGACGUUCCCACCUCUGUCAUUCCCUUCCUCCAAGGUUCUCAGCUCCUGAACAUAUCACUUGUCUCCUAGAAAGCCAGCGUUUGGAGCAAUAAGAUGAUUAUUUUUGCUUGAGUCUUUUUCUAAGAAAAGGAAAAGAGCUGGCAUUAUGGGAAUCUUCUUUCUUUUUAUGCUGUUGGCUGUUUACCUUCUUAGAAGACAGAUCUUAAUAGGAUGGAUGCCUGGGUUUCAGCCUUGGGGUAUCUUUUGGAAGCUUGGGAAAGCAAGAGUUGGGCUUUCACCCCCUAAGGAGGGGACCCUCUCUGCCCUCUCCUUGCUCCAUGCCAAGGCUGCCUGAGCUCCCAGCCCUGCCUGCCAGGUACACCUCCCACCUUUGAUCCUGCUCAUGCGCCCCACACACAGACAUCUGGGGGCACCGGUGGCUCUGAUUCUAAGUGGGGCUCUUGGGUUAUUGCUCCCCAAUGACUCUUUUCCCCUUCCUGGGCCUUAUGGCAGCCCCCAGGCAGAGAUGGCUACCAGAGUCUCCUAGGAACUGGCAACUUGACAACAGCCAAGCUUGCACUCAGCUCUUCAGGCCACCAGGAGGUGUGCCAGGAAGGUGGGCUGAUGUGAGCGUCUGCAGCCCUCACCAAGAGACGAAUCCACUGCCGCAAGUUCCCCGGAGCUCCCCUAGGAUUGCAGGGGUUGACAGAAAGGAGACCCCAGCUUCUUAUUGCAUGAGAGGCCACAGGACGAAAGGGGUUUAUUUAGGGACACUUUAAAGAAAUCUUUUGUGCCCCAGGGGCCUCUCUCCAUCAGAGCAGGAGAGUAUGUUGCAACGAUUUAACAUUCGUGUGGGGCCAACUUGGGUGUGAGGGAGGUUUUAACCGAGGCACAAAGUUAGUUUCAAAUACUAGUUAAUAAAUCUAUUUUUCUUUAUUUUCUUUUUUUGCACAGAAGCUGGUAAUCUAGGACCUACGUGUGAACAACUUUAUAUGAAUAUUUUUUGUACUUGGUUUACUUGGGUUGGUAUGAUACAUUAUAUUUAAGUUCCUUGAACACUGUGGAUCCCCCUAAUGUGUAUGGAUGACUGAGGCUUUGUAAAUUAAGGGACGUUUGUGUGAAUAAAGUUAUUUUAUGGGGUCAAAGAAGCCAUAUGUGAUUUGAAAACGAGUGCAUUGUGAUUUUGUUG